rnacentral:rRNA from 1 species
GACGAACGCUGGCGGCGUGCUUAACACAUGCAAGUCGAACGGAAAGGCCCUGCUUUUGUGGGGUGCUCGAGUGGCGAACGGGUGAGUAACACGUGAGUAACCUGCCCUUGACUUUGGGAUAACUUCAGGAAACUGGGGCUAAUACCGGAUAGGAGCUCCUGCUGCAUGGUGGGGGUUGGAAAGUUUCGGCGGUUGGGGAUGGACUCGCGGCUUAUCAGCUUGUUGGUGGGGUAGUGGCUUACCAAGGCUUUGACGGGUAGCCGGCCUGAGAGGGUGACCGGCCACAUUGGGACUGAGAUACGGCCCAGACUCCUACGGGAGGCAGCAGUGGGGAAUAUUGCACAAUGGGCGGAAGCCUGAUGCAGCAACGCCGCGUGCGGGAUGACGGCCUUCGGGUUGUAAACCGCUUUCGCAUGUGCCGAAGCGUGAGUGACGGUAAUGGGUAAAGAAGCACCGGCUAACUACGUG